GACGAACGCUGGCCGCGUGCUUAACACAUGCAAGUCGAACGGAAAGGCCCUGCUUUUGUGGGGUGCUCGAGUGGCGAACGGGUGAGUAACACGUGAGUAACCUGCCCUUGACUUUGGGAUAACUUCAGGAAACUGGGGCUAAUACCUGAUAGGAGCUCCUGCUGCAUGGUGGGGGUUGGAAAGUUUCGGCGGUUGGUGAUGGACUCGCGGCUUAUCAGCCUGUUGGUGGGGUAGUGGCUUACCAAGGAUUUGACGGGUAGCCGGCCUGAGAGGGUGACCGGCCAGAUUGGGACUGGGAUAAGGCCCAGACUCCUACGGGAGGCAGCAGUGGAGAAUAUUGCACAAUGGGCGGAAGCAUGAUGCAGCAACGCCGCGUGCGGGAAGACGGCCUUCGGGUUGUAAACCGCUUUCGCCUGUGACGAAGCGUGAGUGACGGUAAUGGGUAAAGAAGCACCGGCUAAGUACGUG
rnacentral:rRNA from 1 species